UACAGAGGGUGCAAGCGUUAAUCGGAAUUACUGGGCGUAAAGCGUGCGUAGACGGUUACAUAAGUCGGGUGUGAAAGCCCCGGGCUCAACCCGGGAAUUGCAUUCGAGACUGCGUAGCUAGGGUGCGGAAGAGGGAAGCGGAAUUUCCGGUGUAGCGGUGAAAUGCGUAGAUAUCGGAAGGAACACCAGUGGCGAAAGCGGCUUCCUGGUCCAGCACCGACGUUCAGGCACGAAAGCGUGGGGAGCAAACAGG
rnacentral:rRNA from 1 species